ACGGUUCACUUCCUUAGCACUAGGGGCCUGGCAAGGGGAACCAGAGGAACUACCAGGUGAGGCUGUGCAGCACACAGACAUCCCGGGGCCGAGGAACACCCGCCAGUGAAGCGGCUCCUCCGGCUGACGGGGCUCUGCGGGGCUCGGGCGGCUGGAGGCCACCGGGCAGGUAUGUCACCAGUGCUGCGGGGUGUCCGAAACGCUGCGAACCGAGGGCAUCACUCAGCUCCACAGGGAAAGUCGCCACUGGCAGCUACUCUGGCUCACCUGACUCUUGUUCUGCUUAAGAAACUGUUUCCAGUAGCUAUGUGUUUAAUCACUCUGCCACCCUGUGGUCCUUCCAAGAAUUUAAGUAUGAAAAUGCCUAUUAGGAAAUUGUGAAUUGAUGCUUGACAAAAGAAAAAGACUGUUAAAUUAAGCUAACGGUAAUUCUAUAAGGGAAUAAUCUUUAGACAAAAUAAUCUUUGCACAGGAUUACGAACACAAACUUACCUGACUCUAUCAAUUUCCCUCCACAAUGAACAACAAAAUAACUACCCAAUCUAGUCAAAAUGAAAAAUGGAAGUCAGCAAAAUAGGAGAUAAGUCAAUAUUCUGUUUUAUGAAAGCACCUUGCAAGGAAGUAUUUGUCUGGGACCUCCUGGGUUCUUAAAAUAUUUAUGGAUCUCUUAGAGUGCUGAAGCAAUGAGAUAAACUCAGUAGAACAUGCUUCUAAAAUAAAUCAGAUACUGCACUGUGCUGAGAUAUAGCAAAAUGAUCAGAUAUGACCGGUCCCUUUAUUGAACCAAAGAGAAUGUACUUUUGGUGCUACAGAGAACCAGAAUUCUUUAUGGAGAAAGAGUUUUGCUGCAGCUCUGCAUCGGGGAAACUGGGUGCCAAAGGAACUGGUGGAAAAAGGUACCAACAGACACAACUGGGAUGAAGCAGGAACAUAGCCAGGUUUUCUCAUAAGAACAAAUCCAGGUCUCUUGAAAUACAGAACCUGGUAACAACAUUGCCAAGGGCUGAACUGUAGUGGGAACACUGUCUUGUUCUUAAUGUCUCAGCAAUAAAAAAAAACAUCUGAGAAUCAGUCUGUAGUUGUGGCUGGGAAGAAAAUUUCACCAAGGUGUGUUCACCCAGGGAAGAGAGGUGAAAUGAGGAUAAAAAGGUACAGGAAAUAGCUGUAAGCAGAAAAGGAAUGAGAAGAGAGUACCACUAAGAACAGAAGUAGGACUUGAGCUAAGAAAAGAAGGGAAGAGAAUCGGGAAGUGAAGUAAGAGAGUGGCAACAGAGCCAGGCUGAGGUAGGAGGUGGAAAGCAUAAAUUGGCUUUGUGAUGCCCCUCAGAGCUUUUCCCCUCUGUAUUACACUGUCUUCAUCAUGGGAUGCUGCCUGUCUACAGCAACCAGCAGAGAGGUGAGACCUUUCCUCCCCAGCUGCAGUGUCUUCUCUCUCUGGAGGAAGACUUUUAAAGAUGUCAGUAUAGAAAACUGACCUGGAAGCAUCUCAGGAGAUCCACUUGCUGCACAUCCCCAUCAUGGAAUAGGAUCAGCUGCACCCGUGCUUUUCCCAUAACCCGAUCUGGCAGACUCCAGAGCCCACCUCCCUGGGAAUGGAACUUGCAUCCAAAUUUUAAUUGAAGAUUUCUAAGUUUCUUAACUGCCUUUGAUGUUUCUCUCAUUCAAAUUGUUAAAUCUGGGGGGAAACUCAUUUAGCUCUCCGAAGAGGGCUUGAAGGGCAGUAUUGCCCCUCAAGCUUCACAUAGCAUCUCUUCUGAAGCAAUUCAUGAUGAGAGCAGCCUCAUCUUCCACUUACCGAAUAAUUUCCCAGGGAAAGGCAAUUCUUUUGGGUAAGGACUGCGCCAAAACUGAUGACGCAGUCUCCAACACCUAAAUAGGGGAAGAUGAGAGGACAAGUAUCUCUCCUAACUGUACAGGCAGUGCAUUUAUUUUCUGAGACGAGAGUAAUUGGAGAUCUGAGAGACCAAAACAUCCGAUGAAUGGAAAGUUACUUCUGUUGUCCCAGUUAUAGCUUACCACAUGAUGUCAAAUUAGUCAGCAUCUCAAGACAUUGAUAUCCUUUGGGAUAUGCUCACUACUAAUGUUGGCUCACACAUUUGUAAGAAGAAAAUUCCAGCUACUCAUUGAUACAGUGAUUACAAUGGAAAAAUGUUUGGCCUCAUGACAAGCUCUAGUAUUCAGCAGCAGGACUAAAAAACCACAGAUGGUUAGGGUCGUCACGGGAAAAUAUCAAAAAUAUAAUUGAUACAGGAAUAUUCAUGCUUUAGGCAUAGGCCCUGGUAAUGCCUGAUGAGAGGGGUAGAUGGAUAUCUUCAGAACAAAGUGUUUCUUGCAGAGAUGUCCACAGCUUUUUUUCCACUUUCAUGUCAGACAAAUGUUUUGGGACUAAAAAGGACAGCGGCCUAGGUAUAUUGGGGAGCAGGAGGGGAAGGGGAUAGCCUGCUCAUCUAAUAUUUCAGCACCAGGAGGAAAGUUGAGAAUGACAAAAACAAGCUAACUGGUAAUUCUUGGAUGGUUACAACCUGAGAUCUCAUUAUUCAACAUGACUGAGGGUGAGACUAGAAGGUCCUACAAGCAGAAACAAGAGAAACAACUAGAAUUUAACAGAAUCAGAUAUUUGUUCUGCAGUUUGUAGAUCAUUCCAACAUUGGUUUUUUUGGACAGAAUUUUUAUGAUGUGCUCAUUUGUACCAACCUUUUAAUUUUUCCCUGUGUAAGGCUUCUGCUCCUUUUGUUACAUGAGCUUUUCCUAUAUUGGCUUCUUCGUGGUCCUCAUUCAAAUUUUCAUCCAGUUACUUUUCACUGUAAAUUUCCCACACUGCUCUACUUUGUAUACUCUUCACAAAUAGAAUAUUUAAUGCAUCUUCCUGUUUGUUUGGGGCUUUUUUAUACAUAUUUUGUAUAAUAUGGCUAUGGUUUUCACAUUAAUUAAUUAUUGAUUUAUUUUAGAUUCAUACAGAUAUUGUAGAUAUGUAGUUUGCUGGGAUAUACUUGUAAUCCUUAGUCCUAGCAAUGCCUCAAAAUCAGUAAUAGAUUAACUGCAAAAAAACUUUCUCAGGUAACUGCUAUGCAGAUACUAGCUAAUCAAGAAGUGAGACGAUACGAUAACUUGCCAGAUGAGACACACUGAUGUUUAGGAUGUCACUAUUAAUAAGGUCUCCAGAGUGAGCCUUGAAAUUAGCCACAAAACACUCUACAUAGCUUUUUUUUUUUUUUUUUUUUUAAUUACGUUUAUUUCCAUUAAUCUAUAGACAUUUAUCUCAUAGAUACUAAUGAUAGCACUGUUUCAAAUAAUUUUAGCAGCAGGUGUAUUAUGUGAUUAAAAUUUAGGACCCGCAGUAAAGUAUUGCUGUUAAUUUUGCCAACUAGCAAAAUCAGCUGAGUCUUAAUUACAAUUUUUGCUGUGGUAGAAACACUCCAGAGAUCUAUCCAGAAAAUGCAGAUGGAGCAAAAGACUUCCAUGAUGUACUCAUCUAUUAAAUGACAUGCACAGCCUGCCUCAUACUCUAAAUCUAAAAGGUCACUAUAAUUAAUAUAUUUUUGAAAAAAAUGUCCUGCUCUUUCAUGCCAAGGUUAACAGAAAUCAUAGCUUCCCCUUCCUAUCCACUGCACCAACAUUUAUACUGCGAGGACAUGCUCUGUAGCUAAGAACAUCCUGGCUGGCUGGCUGAGACUGGGGACAAGUGACAAAUGUAGGCUGGGUACCAGCUUUUUCAGGUUUUACCCCACCUUAUGAAUGAUGUCACCGGAGCAUGACUGAUCCUCUGGCUUUGUUUGCAAUUACAUAUGCUGUCCUUGCUGAGAAAUGACAUAACAGCAGAACAGGUCUCUAAGCACUAGUUGUCUUGUAAGCAUUGGGUAUCUGGGUUCUUGUUUGUCACAACUGUGUGCUGUGAAACUCUCAGCGUUGUUUCCUAACUGUGCUGAUGGUGUUUCUGCCCCACCUAUUUUGGCAUGUGCUCUCCAGCUCUGUGCUUGAGUAUUUCUUCUCCACUGUUUCCAGCACAGAACCAAUUUUAUGUCACUGAAAUAGAUACUCCCAGCUAUUGUAUAGUUUACACAAUUAUUUAGAUUUGGUUACAACUGUUUAUUUGCUCUUAAUCUGAAUAUAACUCUUUUGCAUCUUCCUGUUGGCCUAUUAAGAGUGACAAGACAGCACUUAUCUGAGGCAGCAAUGAGCUACUGGGUUAUUCUACUAAUUGGCUGAAAUUUUCCCUUGGACUUGUUAUCUCCUGCAUUGUGGGGCUUUGCUGGCUGACAUCAUCAGGUAUGACAGUUUUACUGGGACAUGAUAAUACAAAUUAAUCACUGCCUGGAACAUAGAACAUACAAGACACUGCUUUGCUAUUUGAGCUAUUCAUUUUUAAAAAAAAAAAAAAAAUGUCUAACUCAAUAAUCAACUCCAAUGGAGAGCAGAAGAGUGUGUGCUCUGGUGAUUUAGGGGGUCUGAGUUUAUUUAGGGUCCUGAGCUAUGACUAAAACCUGAACAUCGUGAAUAACAGAUACAAGCACAUCUAACCUUUAUGGAUUUAUCUAACACUUUUGUGGAUCACACACAUUUUGACUUCUACAACGUAUCACAAGUUCCACAAUUUGUUGCAGAGAAAGUUCUUCUGUUAUCCAUAAUUUACUUUCUGUUAAUUUCAGUGGUAUUCCCCAGUUCUUACAUUUCAGACAGACUCAUUAUUCAAGAUAGGUAUGUACCAUGGAUUUAUACAAUGGCAUAAUUAUAUUUUCUGUUUUGUUUUUUUGUAUUUUUUUGUUCUCUUUCUUAUUUUUCUAGGAAGGAAAUGUAGUACAUUCAUUGUAGACACUUAGUCUUCCACUGUCUCACAGAAGACUGCAACAUGCUGAAAUGAUAUUCAGAGCUCUUGUCACACCUGCAGGUCCAGCUGCCAUGGUCACCUUCUGUGUUGAAGCACAAUGGGCAUUUCCACUGACAGGUAUGUCUAGACAAUGAGAAAUUGUCAUUUAACGGGUGAAAAUGUAACAUAUGUGCUAAUUUUAAAUAUUGCAGAUCGCAUUUCAGCUGAAAAAAUAAAUCCUUGAACUAAAUUUUGUGAGGCUUUAAUCAAACUGGGCCUCUCUUGUGAAAUAAUCUCCAAGAACUGUAACUGUGAACUGUGUAAUUAUCACCAGACUCAUAACGUGUUAUGGUGUUCAGCUUUGGCACUAUGCCAUUUUUUCCAGUGCUGGCUUUAUUAUCUUUUUUUUUUUUUCACAGCUACUUACAUUGUGUUUUGAAAGACAUUCAGAAAUUUCUAGCGUGUACAUCUUUCUUUGACAUUUAAGCACCCCAUUUCAUGUAGCCCAAUUUUCUCACUACAUUUUACUGUAGAGCUCCCAAGCACUUGAACUGCAAUCACACCUGGGCAGUCAUCCUCCCAGCGUGCUGCCUGAUGGCUAGAGCCUGACACUGGUAAUGUGCACGGUUAUAACAUAUGUUAUGUUAUCUUGCAGUUCAUUGUUUUAUGUCUUAGUUGUGGAGCUUUGGAGUUAUUUGAACUUCCUUUCUUUGAUUUGUCACAGCUGCCCUUCAUUUAUUUUGCUGUUCACAUCCUUGAUGUUUGAAUCAUGGGAAACAUUGUACAGGGCCAGGAACUUCAAAGGCAAGACUAUAAUAAACUUCAACAAUCCA